GACGAACGCUGGCGGCGUGCUUAACACAUGCAAGUCGAACGGAAAGGCCCUGCUUUUGUGGGGUGCUCGAGUGGCGAACGGGUGAGUAACACGGGAGUAACCUGCCCUUGACUUUGGGACAACUUCAGGCAACUGGGGCUAAUACCGGAUAGGAGCGCCUGCUGCAUGGUGGGGGUUGGAAAGUUUCGGCGGUUGGGGAUGGACUCGCGGCUUAUCAGCUUGUUGGUGGGGUAGUGGCUUACCAAGGCAUUGACGGGUAGUCGGCCUGAGAGGGGGACCGGCCACAUUGGGACUGAGGUACGGCCCAGACUCCUACGGGAGGCAGCGGUGGGGAGUAUUACACAAUGGGCGGAAGCGUGAUGCGGCAACGCCGCGUGCGGGAUGACGGCCUUCGGGUUGUAAACCGCUUUCACCUGUGACGAAGCGUGAGUGACGUUAAUAGGUAAAGAAGCACCGGCUAACUACGUG
rnacentral:rRNA from 1 species